UUAUGUAAAUACAUGUUAUCUUACUAAUGAGAAUUGUUUAUUACUUUAGUUGUUCAUACAGUCAGGCAAAGUGUAGAGACAGUUCUAUUGAUCUAGAAUCAAUAUGUACUUGUGUUCAUCCUAUGAUUCAUACUCCAGUUACUCCUGAUUUACCGACAACGUCAGUUACUUCUGAUUUACCGACAACGUCAGUUACUCCUGAUUUACCGACAACGUCAGUUACUCCUGAUUUACCGACAACGUCGUCAACCUUGACUCCAACGCAAGAGUUUAUUACAACUUUGGCUACAGCUAAUUUUUCUACGCAACCUAAAGUAUCACCAACAGUAAAACCAACAAUGGCUCUACCAACUCAAAAUGUAACAACACAGGAUGCGCUAAUUUCUUUAUUUUGCGAAAAUAAGGAUAUUACUUGUUCAAAAGACCCGGAUCCUAUGUGUGGAUCUGAUAACACAACGUACAAUAACAGAUGCGAGUUCAACAAGGUUAAGUGUAACAAUUCGAAUCUUUCGAUUGUUCGGGAAGGAGAUUGUUGACAUAAAUGUUAUCCACGAGGUCAUAACCUUUUGCAUAUACUUAAUAAAAAAAAUAACAUUAAACGAGAGAA